ensembl:lncRNA
CUGGGUGGGGCUAGCUGGGUGUAGCUAGCUGGGUGGGGCUAGCUGGGUGUGGCUAGCUGGGUGGGGCUAGCUGGGUGGGGCUAGCUGGGUGGGGCUAGCUGGGCGGGGCUAGCUGGGCGGGGCUAGCUGGAGCCUCUCACUGUCUGUAGGCCCGGUGGGGUCUGUCACAUACAGGCUCCCACACAGUGUCAGUCACUGUUUCUUCACCUCUCCAUCUCUGUUUAUGCACCUGUUGUUCUUUCCUUUCACCUCAUUUGACCUCUGUAGAAGAACCCGGUCAUCUGUGUGAAUAAUUGACCUUUCUACAUCUCCAAACCGCUACUGUAUUUGGUGAACAGAUGCGAUAUUGCCAAUGCCGCAAAAUUUGUCUUUUGUAUCUUUCUACGUUUUGAUGUUUGAACCUCCUCAACAUUAAGGACUGUGUUUUCUAUUCUUCUGAAUGUCAUAUUGUUGUACAGAAUGCUCUUUACUUUCCACAGUUGAAGAAAAAAAAAAGUUUUUCUUGCGUGUGAACCUGAUCUACCAUGUGUGUGUGUGUGUGUGUGUGUGUGUGUGUGUGUGUGUAUGGUCCAUGAAAGUGAUUGUGUGUUUAUGUGUGAGAAAGAGAGACUGAGAAGGAGAUUGUAAGUUCAUAGUUAAGGCAUGAGUGAGUGUGUCUUAAAGGUUGUUGUUUUAGGUUGUGUUGUAAAUACCCCCCCCCACGUCUCUACAGGGUUGUGUUGAGUUCUGCAUCUUUUAUCGUGAAGAAAAAGAAAACCUUGUUUGAUUGUAAGCCAUGUCUGUCAUCCACCCCAUUGUAUUUAUUUCUUUAUCUCAAUAAUGUGUUCCAUUGAAGGAUGUUGGUUUUAAUUGGAGAUAGAGGGACACUGGAGAAACAACCUCCAUCCUCAAAAAGGCACACAGGAUGUGAUUUAUGCAAUAAUGACUGAUCACAUAAUGAAAUUAUGAUCAAUAAAUUAACAUGUAUUCCUUUUGGUAUGCAAUAAUCACACCCACAUAGGUCAGCUAAUUAAUUUGUUACCAAUCCAAUCGCCUAGAAAUAACCAAUUCUACAUUCCUCAUCUAAUGGACACCUUUUAAGGGAGAACAGUGUAUUUUAUAUAUAAAUAUAUAAAGAGUGUUACGAAGAAACCUGUCAUAUUUGUGUACAGAACAAUUGAAUGAAUGGUUGGUGAAAAUGUUGUUUAAAUUUGUUUUUUCUUCAGAUAAAGAAAUGAAGGCAAUAUGAAUACAAACACGUUGUCAGAGGACUGUUCAUGACAUCAAAACUAUAUUUGUUUACAUUUAUUACUUACAAACAUUGUUAAACUAGUCAAUAUUUUGCAAUCAUCUUGGCACAGCAGUCACAAUAAGCUCAUGUAUAAGUAAUUCUUUAAGUAUCAGUGGGUGAAUAUCAGUUAUCCCUAAAAUACUUACCUCCAGGCUGCCCCUUUUAGAUCCAGAAA